rnacentral:rRNA from 1 species
UACGGGAGGCAGCAGUGGGGAAUAUUGCACAAUGGGCGAAAGCCUGAUGCAGCUAUGCCGCGUGUAUGAAGAAGGCCUUAGGGUUGUAAAGUACUUUCAUCGGGGAGGAAAAAACAAAACUAAUAAUUUUAUUUCUUGACGUUACCCGAAAAAGAAGCACCGGCUAACUCCGUGCCAGCAGCCGCGGUAAUACGGAGGGUGCUAGCGUUAAUCAGAAUUACUGGGCGUAAAAGAGCACGUAGGUGGUUUUUUUAAGUCAGAUGUGAAAUCCCCUGGGGCUUAACCUAGGAACUGCAUUUUGAAACUGAAAUACUAGAGUAUCGUAGAGGGAGGUAGAAUUCUAGGUGUAGCGGUGAAAUGCGUAGAUAUCUGGAGGAAUACCUGUGGCGAAAGCGGCCUCCUAAACGAAUACUGACACUGAGGUGCGAAAGCGUGGGGAGCAAACAGGGAUUAGAUACC